GAUGAACGCUAGCGACAGGCUUAACACAUGCAAGUCGAGGGGCAGCACGGGAGUAGCAAUACAACUGGUGGCGACCGGCGCACGGGUGAGUAACGCGUAUGCAACCUACCUAUCAGAGGGGAAUAACCCGGCGAAAGUCGGACUAAUACCGCAUAAAACAGGGGGCACCGCAUGGUGAUAUUUGUUAAAGAAAUUCGCUGAUAGAUGGGCAUGCGUUCCAUUAGGUAGUUGGUGAGGUAACGGCUCACCAAGCCGACGAUGGAUAGGGGAACUGAGAGGUUGGUCCCCCACACUGGUACUGAGACACGGACCAGACUCCUACGGGAGGCAGCAGUGAGGAAUAUUGGUCAAUGGGCGGGAGCCUGAACCAGCCAAGUCGCGUGAAGGAAGAAGGAUCUAUGGUUCGUAAACUUCUUUUGCAGGGGAAUAAAGUGCAGGACGUGUCCUGUUUUGUAUGUACCCUGAGAAUAAGGAUCGGCUAACUCCGUG
rnacentral:rRNA from 1 species